ACAAAAUGAAUACAAAGUAUCUCUGCAGAUACAGACACAGCCGUUCACUUCUAGUGGGUCAUAAGUGAUGAUUGAGAGGGAUUAUUUUUGUAUGAGUCUAUACAUUGCUUUUUAGGAAACUCCUACUCAUUCUCCCUUUAAGU